rnacentral:rRNA from 1 species
UACGGAGGGUGCGAGCGUUAUCCGGAAUCACUGGGUUUAAAGGGUGCGUAGGCGGUCUGAUAAGUCAGUUGUGAAAUUCCUCGGCUUAACCGAGUGGACUGCGAUUGAUACUGUCAGACUUGAAUCAGGUUGAGGUAGGCGGAAUGUGACAUGUAGCGGUGAAAUGCUUAGAUAUGACACAGAACACCGAUUGCGAAGGCAGCUGACGAAACUGUAACUGACGCUGAGGCACGAAAGCGUGGGGAUCAAACAGG